GCCGAUGUGGCGUAACUGGCAGACGCACGGGACUUAAAAUCCCGCGGACUUAACAUCCGUACCGGUUCGGAUCCGGUCAUCGGCACCA
rnacentral:tRNA from 1 species